rnacentral:rRNA from 1 species
AUUGAACGCUGGCGGCAGGCCUAACACAUGCAAGUCGAGCGGAUGAAGGGAGCUUGCUCCUGGAUUCAGCGGCGGACGGGUGAGUAAUGCCUAGGAAUCUGCCUGGUAGUGGGGGAUAACGUCCGUAAACGGGCGCUAAUACCGCAUACGUCCUGAGGGAGAAAGUGGGGGAUCUUCGGACCUCACGCUAUCAGAUGAGCCUAGGUCGGAUUAGCUAGUUGGUGGGGUAAAGGCCUACCAAGGCGACGAUCCCUAACUGGUCUGAGAGGAUGAUCAGUUACACGGGAACUGAGACACGUUCCAGACUCCUACGGGAGGCAGCAGUGGGGAAUAUUGGACAAUGGGCGAAAGCCUGAUACAGCCAUGCAGAGUGUGUGAAGAAGGUCUUCGGAUGGUAAAGCACUUUAAGUUGGGAGGAAGGGCAGUAAGUUAAUACCUUGAUGUUUUGACGUUACCAACAGAAUAAGCACCGGCUAACUUCGUG